AUUGAACGCUGGCGGCAGGCCUAACACAUGCAAGUCGAGCGAGCGGCGGACGGGUGAGUAAUGUCUGGGAAACUGCCUGAUGGAGGGGGAUAACUACUGGAAACGGUAGCUAAUACCGCAUACCAUCAGAUGUGCCCAGAUGGGAUUAGCUAGUAGGUGGGGUAACGGCUCACCUAGGCGACGAUCCCUAGCUGGUCUGAGAGGAUGACCAGCCACACUGGAACUGAGACACGGUCCAGACGCCGACGGGAGGCAGCAGUGGGGAAUAGUGCACAAUGGGGGAAAGCCUGAUGCAGCCAUGCCGCGUGUAUGAAGAAGGCCUUCGGGUUGUAAAGUACUUUCGGCGGGGAGGCGUUACCCGCAGAAGAAGCACCGGCUAACUCCGUGCCAGCAGCCGCGGUAAUAC
rnacentral:rRNA from 1 species